rnacentral:misc_RNA from 1 species
GACACUCCUACAACAAUGCAAAUAAAGGAAACAUGAUCAUAACUGGUCCUACUUUUAAGCAAGCAUUCUAGUGACCAACGCAACCAUUUGGACCAAAUCUUGGGGUGGCCUUUGUCAAUCGAAAUACUUUGGAUUCUUAACUGGGGCCCGUUGCGAUCGUCGUGGCCCAUCAAUACCCUUCCCUUUGACACUAACCUUGUCCUCAAGGUUGAUUUUGACAAAUGUGUCCUGGAUGUCUUUAGCGUUUUCCCACGUGGCUUCCUCUGCUGGUAAGUUUUUCCAC